rnacentral:rRNA from 1 species
UGAGAGAACCAUGUCGAAAGAACUCGGCAAAAUGACCCCGUAAAUUCAAGAGAGGUGUGCUCUCCUAUAUUUUGAUUAGGAAAUCGGCACGUAGCAGGGGGUAGCGACUGUUUAUUAAAAACACAGGACUCUUCUAAGUGGUAACACGAUUUUAUAGAGUCUGACACCUGUCCGUUGCUGGAAGGUUUGAAGGAGAAGUGUUAUAAGGUUUGAAUGGAAGCCCCGGUAAAUGGAAGCAGUAACUCUAACUAUCCUAAGGUAGCAAAAUUCCUUGUCGCAUAAGUAGCGACCUACACGAAUGGUGUAACGACUGCCCUGUUUUCUCCGACAUGGAUCCGGUGCAAUUAAAUUCUACGUGAAGAUACGGAGUACCAACGGCUAGACGGUAAGACCCUGUGCACCUUAACUAUAGCUUCGCAGUGACAACCUUAAUAGAAUGUGUAGGAUAGGUGGGAGGUGGUGACACACAACGACCGAUCCUAAAAGACCGCUCUUUCGUCUAAGGAUGCCUAACCUCCGCACCGAUUAUUCGGGGGGAGGCGGGACAUUGCGAGUUGGGUUUGUCAGGGGCGGAUGCCUCCUAAAGAGUAUCGGAGGUGUGCGAAGGUAGGCUCAAGCUAAGAUUGUGCUCGUGAGCAUAAUGUCAUAAGUCUUCCUGACUGUGAGACCGACUAGUCGAACAGAGAUAAAAGUCGGCCAUAGUGAUCCGGGAGUCCCGUUGAAAGGCUAUCCCUCAACGGAUCAAAGUUAAACCGGGGAUAAAAGGCUGAUGACUCCCAAAAGCUCUUAGCAACGGAAUCAUUUGGUACCUCGAUGUCGACUCAUCACAUCCAGGUGUUGAAGAAGGUCCCAAGGGUUUGAUUGUUGCUGAUUCAAGUGGUGCAUGAGUUGGGUUUAUAAUGGCGUGAGACAGUUUGGUUCCUAUCUACCGUUUGUGUUAAAGGGAAAACUGCGAGGAGCCAACCCUAGUAAGAGAGGACUGGUUUGGGAUAACGUAUGGUGUACCGGCUGUUAUGCCAAUAGCAGCGCCGGGCAGCAGUUGAUAUGGAAGAACUGCUGCGCCACAGGAAAUCCUUCUCUAUACAAGUUCUCGAACGAGGUUUUUUAACAGAACUUCGAUAGGCGAGAGGUGUAAGCAUUGUGAGAUGUGAAGAGAUCUCGUCCUAAACGAAACGACUUUCACUUUCCAUAACAAUAAUGAAAGAAACUCAACCUAUUCCUGAAAUUGCGGUCAGUCUCGCUACCUCUUUAGUUUC